UAUGGCUAUUAUACUGGGUGUAAAAGAUAAAUCUUAUUCUAUCUGUUCUUAAUGAGUUUUAGAUAAUUUUAGUUGUAUUUCUUUGUAAUUUUGUGUUGUACAAAGAUUAAUUUAACAUUUUCUCUGGAAGUAUUAAUUUAGAAAGAUAAUAUGCUUCAUUGGUGUUGUGUUUUGAAGUGUGAAAUGCAAAGUAAUUGUGAUAAAGUCAAGAUAAAGUUCACUUUUAAACUGAACUAAAUAAGGUAUCUGAGAGACAACAAUGGUUAAAUGCAAUACAAUGUACAGGUUUUACUAGCGAAAUGAAAAUUUUCCUGUCCUGUCUGCUGUAAUCAUUUUAUAUCUGGAAAACCAGCCGACUUAAUCGAUAAUAACAAUCUCCAGAUUGGGUUCCUUCAAUAAAUAUGGGCUAUAAACACAAUGAAAUAAGUUCCCCAAAAUCUAAAAUGGAGUGGUAUCAAAGGAGAAUUAAAGGGAAAAAUAUUCAUAUUGAAAUUAUUUAUAAGGCACUGGACUGUCUUAAAUUCUACAAUAAUACUAGAAUCAGCUGAGAGAAGUGGUCUACAAAAAACCAGGAAGGAAACGGAAUAUGUGGCUACGAAAGGCAAAAGAAAGGUUUACAAAGCAAAUGUGACACAUUUUUUUGAAAUAUUUAGGAAUAUCAGUAA